CCCUUAGACGUUCUGGGCCGCACGCGCGCUACACUGACCAGUGCAACAAGCAUCCGUCCUUGGCCGACAGGCUCGGGCAAUCUUUGAACGCUGGUCGUGAUGGGGAUAGACUUUUGCAAUUUUUGGUCUUCAACGAUGAAUUCCUAGUAAACGCAAGUCAUCAACUUGCAUUGAUUACGUCCCUGCCCUUUGUACACACCGCCCGUCGCACCUACCGAUUGAAUGGUCCGGUGAAGCCUCCGGAUUGGCGCGCACCUCGGUGCCGCCGAGAAGUUGGCUAAACCUUACCAUUUAGAGGAAGGUGAAGUCGUAACA
rnacentral:rRNA from 1 species